rnacentral:lncRNA from 1 species
UUGACAUUUGAUUCUACAGUUUAUUACAAAUCCGUUACUUCUACCUUUUUUCGCUUUAUAUUGUGUAAUAUAAUUAUACUAUAUUUAGAUCUAAUGUUCGUUAACCAAUAUCACCCCUAAGACGACCCACUGACCCAAACUCUAAAUAUGGGGUUGUUGGGGGCGCGUGAGGGGUGUUCUGCCGCGUGCUCGCUGCCGGCGCAGAGAGCUGGCGGGCACACGCGUGCGAGUGGCGCUCGUGCGAGUGCCGCGCCGAGCUGUGUCGCACGGAGCACGAGUGACGGUACUCCCUUCAUGUUACUUCAGUAUGCUGACAUCCUGUAGUGUAGAAUGCUGACUGCGACACCACAACUAUUAUGUUCGUGACGGAAUUACGUGAGAUAGAUUGUGAGGACAAGUAUGGUUUG